rnacentral:rRNA from 1 species
UACGUAUGGUGCAAGCGUUAUCCGGAUUUACUGGGCGUAAAGGGAGCGCAGGCGGUGCGCCAAGUCUGAUGUGAAACCCCGGGGCUCAACCCCGGGCAUGCAUUGGAAACUGGCGGGCUGGAGUGCCGGAGAGGUAAGCGGAAUUCCUAGUGUAGCGGUGAAAUGCGUAGAUAUUAGGAGGAACACCAGUGGCGAAGGCGGCUUACUGGACGGCAACUGACGCUGAGGCUCGAAAGCGUGGGGGGCAAACAGG